CCUACGGUGGGCAGCAGUGAGGAAUAUUGGUCAAUGGCCGGAAGGCUGAACCAGCCAAGCCGCGUGAAGGACGAAGGUGCCACGCAUUGUAAACUUCUUUUGUCAAGGGACAAAAUCAGGCUCGAGGGCCUGACCGAGGGUACUUGAAGAAAAAGCCUCGGCUAAAUCCGUGCCAGCGGCCGCGGUAAUACGGAGGAUGCGCGCGUUAUCCGGAUUUAUUGGGGUUAAAGGGUGCGUAGGCGGACUGUUAAGUCAGCGGUAAAAGCUCGGGGCUCAACCCCGGCGAGCCGUUGAAACUGGCAGUCUUGAGAGGGCGAGAGGUAUGCGGAAUGCGUGGUGUAGCGGUGAAAUGCUUAGAUAUUGCGCAGAACGCCGAUUGCGAAGGCAGCAUACCGGCGGCGAGCUGACGCUGAGGCACGAAAGCGUGGGGAUCGAACAGGAUUAGAUACCCUUGUAGUC
rnacentral:rRNA from 1 species